rnacentral:rRNA from 1 species
GGAGUUAGCCGGUGCUUCUUCUGCGAGUAACGUCACAGAUGUAAGGUAUUAACUUACACCCUUUCCUCCUCGCUGAAAGUGCUUUACAACCCGAAGGCCUUCUUCACACACGCGGCAUGGCUGCAUCAGGGUUUCCCCCAUUGUGCAAUAUUCCCCACUGCUGCCUCCCGUAGGAGUCUGGGCCGUGUCUCAGUCCCAGUGUGGCUGAUCAUCCUCUCAGACCAGCUAGGGAUCGUCGCCUAGGUGAGCCUUUACCUCACCUACUAGCUAAUCCCACCUGGGCUUAUCCAUCAGCGCAAGGCCCGGAAGGUCCCCUGCUUUCCCCCGUAGGGCGUAUGCGGUAUUAGCAGUCGUUUCCAACUGUUAUCCCCCACAAAUGGGCAAAUUCCCAGGCAUUACUCACCCGUCCGCCGCUCGUCAUCUUCAAAAGCAAGCUUUUGAAAUGUUACCGCUCGACUUGCAUGUGUUAGGCCUGCCGCCAGCGUUCAAUCUGAGCCAGGAUCAAACUCUGA